ACUUACGGCCACACCGCCUGGUUAACGCCCCGAUCUCGUUUGAUCUCGGAAGAUAAGAUAGGUUGGGCCUGGUUAGUACUUUGAUGGGAGACCGCCUGGGAAUACCAGGUGCUGUAAGCU
rnacentral:rRNA from 1 species